rnacentral:lncRNA from 1 species
AGUAAAAGAAGAUAGAAUUUUCUCUUCUUCUUCUCUCCAUUGUUCUUCCCUUCUUCUUCUUCCUUAGAAAAUCUUACUAUAAACAAAUGUUCUCCUCAUUAUCUUCCUCCUCAUCUGGCAUCGUCUCUCUCUUUUUCUGAACUGAAGGUUGUGUUCGACUUAAAUAUCUAUCUAUCUAUCUAUCUAUCUAUCUAUCUAUCUAUCUAUCUAUCGAUCUAUCGAUCUAUCGAUCUAUCGAUCUAUCGAUCUAUCUAUCUAUCUAUCUAUCUAUCGAUCUAUCUAUCUAUCGAUUUAUCUAUCUAUCGAUCCAUCCAUCUAUCCAUCCAUCCAUCUAUCCAUCCAUCCAUCCAUCUAUCUAUCCAUCCAUCCAUCUAUCUAUCUAUCUAUCUAUCCAUCUAUCCAUCUAUCCAUCUAUCUAUCUAUCCAUCCAUCCAUCCAUCUAUCCAUCCAUCCAUCCAUCUAGCUAUCCAUCUAGCUAUCCAUCUAGCUAUCUACCUAGCUAUCUACCUACCUACCUACCUACCUACCUACCUACCGACCUACUUACUUAGCUACCUAUCUACCUAACUAACUACCUACCUAACUACCUACCUACCGACCUACCUAACUACCUACCUAACUACCUACCUACCGACCGACCUACCUACCGACCUACCUAUAUCACAUAUUCAUGUGUUCCCUUUAUUGGUUAUUACUCCCCUUGUGUUAGACUAUAAUAUAACCUCAUAAGAUGUCCACUUGCUUUAUUGUACAUUUUAUAUUUACUUACUUGGAAUAUGUAUCCGUAUUUAAGUUGAAUCUGUCCACAUUCUUCCUUGGUUCCACAUUCAUGUAUACCUUGUCUUUGACAUUAGUUAGUGAGUAUUUCGCUAUCAUAUAAAGUUCAAAUCUCUUGGCUGAAAGUUAAAUGUCUUCACUUGAUAUGUGCUUCAAUUUGAGAUGUCAAAAUGCUUACUGAGUCAUCGAAGCUCCUAAGUAUUACAUUGGUGUCACAUUUGCUUCCCACGUCAUUGUCAUUAUCGUAAGUCCAUAUUUGUAUGUCUUUUAGUACUGGUCCAUAGUUCCAAAUCUCAAUAAUGAUUUUGAUCACCAAAACUACAAUCUCAAAAGCAUUAUGAUUAUCCAAAGAACAAUCUCAAAAGAGUUAUGAACAUCAAACAACAAUCUCAAAGGUCAUCCUCUCUUACCACUGAUCACCUGGUCAUUUGUAUCAUAUGUCUAAAUAUUAUAAUGCACGGAAAAUUAAAGAAUGUAACAUACACAAUUCCACAAGUAUAAACAAAGAUGGUCUUUAAUCCUUAUCAAUUGAUAUUUGGUUUUUCUUGAGCUCUCAUUUCACUUAUGGUUUUAUUAUGCCUCACAUAUUCAGUACAUUUGUUCAUAUUGACAUAUUGGGACGCUGGAUUUCAUGCUGCAGGUACAAGUACUCAACUAGUAGAUCUCCCUAAUAGAAAGCACAUUAUACUUAACGGCUGUGGGUGAGCUCCAGGUUGAUUCAUGGCUUUGCCUAGUCUUUACUAUGCGUAUUUUCAUAGUGGUACCGUCAUGGAUUCCAGUAGAGGCUUUGUAGACAUUGUAAAGCUAUCACUUGUAAUCAUACUUUCACUUAUCACUUAUAUUGGUUCAGCUAGUCAACAUGUGUUGUAUAUGAAGCUUCUCAUCAGUAACUCUAUCUGCAUCGUGUUUAAUUUUUCAUCAUAGGUCACUUGUAAAGCAUGUGUUCAUAUGGUACUUGUCUGCCUCACCUAGGGGGUGUGACAGAAGUAACAAAAUCAUCCUAAAUAUCAAUAUACCACUACUAUUAUUUUUCAAAAUAUACAUUGACAAUGCUAGUGUUUUUCUUGAAAAACGAGGAUAAAAAUUGUUGACAUAAUCAAAGGGUUGAGUAUACCCGUUGAACUACCUUGGCACAAAUUGUAAUGGAAUCAUUCUAAAUAUCGAUAUACCACUACUAAUUUUCAUUUUGUUUCUUUAUUUCCUCUCAUCUCUCUUGUUUCUCCAUAUCAUCCU